rnacentral:rRNA from 1 species
CAUUACACAAAUAUGAAGGCGGGCUGGAACCUCUCGGGGUUACAGCCUUGCUGAAUUAUUCACCCUUGUCUUUUGCGUACUUCUUGUUUCCUUGGUGGGUUCGCCCACCACUAGGACAAACAUAAACCUUUUGUAAUUGCAAUCAGCGUCAGUAACAAAUUAAUAAUUACAACUUUCAACAACGGAUCUCUUGGUUCUGGCAUCGAUGAAGAACGCAGCGAAAUGCGAUAAGUAGUGUGAAUUGCAGAAUUCAGUGAAUCAUCGAAUCUUUGAACGCACAUUGCGCCCUUUGGUAUUCCAAAGGGCAUGCCUGUUCGAGCGUCAUUUGUACCCUCAAGCUUUGCUUGGUGU